CCAGGAGGUCAAGGCCACAGUUUGCUGACAUCGUGCCACUGCGUUCCCACCUGGACAAGAGAGAGAGACCCUGUCUCAAAAAAAAAAAAAAAAACAAUAAAUAAAUAAAGAGUUUGCUGGCAUGUCCCUGUGGUCCCAGGUACUCGGCAGGCUGAGGUGGAAAGAUCACUUGAGUCUAGGAAGUUUCAGCGAGCUGUAAUCGUGCCACUGCACUCCAGCCUGGGUGAAAGAGCAAGGCCCUGUCUCAAAAAAAAAAAAAGAAAAGAAAAGCAUUUCUAAAUCAUUCCUCAAACUAGUUUUUAGUAAAAAGCUAUCUUCAAAGUAAUAAUCUACAUCCUGGAUCCUGAGAAUGAUCAUUCAAAAGCAAAGCAAC
rnacentral:lncRNA from 1 species